AGAGUUUGAUCCUGGCUCAGAACGAACGCUGGCGGCGUGCUUAACACAUGCAAGUCGAACGAGAAAGUUUCCUUCGGGAAACGAGUAGAGUGGCGCACGGGUGAGUAACGCGUAGGUAAUCUAUCCUUAUAUUUGGGAUAACAUUGGGAAACUGGUGCUAAUACCGAAUAGUCUUCUUUGCUGCUGGGCGAAGAAGUAAAGGUGGCCUCUUCAUGAAAGCUACCGUGUAGGGAUGAGCCUGCGUACCAUUAGCUAGUAGGUGAGGUAACGGCUCACCUAGGCUACGAUGGUUAGCGGGUCUGAGAGGAUGAUCCGCCACACUGGAACUGGAACACGGACCAGACUCCUACGGGAGGCAGCAGUGAGGAAUAUUGCGCAAUGGGGGAAACCCUGACGCAGCGACGCCGCGUGAGUGAGGGAGGUCUUCGGAUCGUAAAGCUCUGUCAGAAGGGAAGAAGUGUUAUAUGGUUAACACCCAUAUAAUUUGACGGUACCUUCAGAGGAAGCACCGGCUAACUCCGUGCCAGCAGCCGCGGUAAUACGGAGGGUGCGAGCGUUGUUCGGAAUUACUGGGCGUAAAGGGCGCGUAGGCGGCCGGAUUAGUCAGAUGUGAAAGUCCACGGCUCAACCGUGGAAGUGCAUUUGAAACUGUCCGGCUUGAGUAUC
rnacentral:rRNA from 1 species